CCCGGACCUCACGCGGGAGUCGGCCUCGUGCACACGGUCCGGCGCGCGCGCGGAGCCUGCGCGGCACCGCCGGCGGCGCGCUCACGUGACCCCGCCCUGCUGGAGGGGUGCGCGCGCGUUACGCGCCACGGUCCUGCGAGGCUGAUCUCGUUUGUCCUUCUAUCCGGCUGCCCGUACUUUGUACUCCACCGCUGUGGCACCUAGAAUCCUCGUCACCUUUGCCAGGUGUGUCUGUCCGUUUCUGGCUGGGUACGACAAGUGGAAGGGUGGAAGAAGAGACCCUGCAGCCCGGGCUGAACAGGUGCUGGGGUUAGGGUUAUUAGGGAGCCCUCCAGUGGUCAGGGGUCAAAGCUCAUUUUCUGUUUCUCUUUGCGACAGGGUCUCUAUGCAGUGCAGGCUGGCCUUGAGCUCCCUGGCUGGUCUGGAACUCCCAGCGAUCCUUCUGUCACAGCCUCCCAAGGGCUGGGAUUGCAAGCCUGCCCCACCACGUCCAGCUUGAAAGCUCAUUUUAUACCCGAGGGGCAGCACCUACCCUCAAGGUCUCUCAGCUCUUAAGUGACCACACCUAGCUCUGCACGAGGACUUAGAUUUGUCCCUGUCCUCCUCAUUCAUCCCCACUGCAGACAGUGCCCCAUCCAAAUGGCCUUCUCAGAACUGGGGCGGCUGAGUGGAUGCCUUGUCCCUCCAGGCAUGGACCCCAGGCUCCUGCCCCAGCGUCCUCCUAUGUGCUGUGAGGGCCAUUGGAGACGUGCCCUCUGCCUUCUGCUGGGCAAAGCUUGCUGCCCAGGCCUCCAGUACAUCAGAGUCACAACAGCUGCUCAGCAGGAGGUGCCCACAGCUCCCCCAGCUGUAAUCACAUUUAACCCUCACCAUUGGGGACAGGGAUGUGGUGUGACCCACCUGGCAUCCCAGCGCACCAGGACAGGCUCCCCAACCUGUGUUCUCCCAGCUGCCUCUCACCCAGACAUUCAGUGAACACCCACAGACUGCAUUGGGGUGCCGGGUAGCAGAAGCGCUCAGCUAGCUGUGGGCGAUCAGCGCAUUCCUGGAGCUGCCUACCUGGGGGCAGCAUGGAAAUGGCGGACAGUGAUGGCAUGGGUGAGGCGGGUUGUCCAUGGGAAGACCCAUGGGAUGGCACAGGGGCAACCACCUGGAAGGCUUCCAGGAGGUGCAGCAGGAGGGAUUCCCAGAGAACUGGUCUGGUGGUAAGACAGACAGGCAGGCCACACCAUUGUGGUGCCGGACAUAGUGGGUGAUGAGGGCGUUGGAUUGGCAGAGACAGGAAGUUCAGGCUUUGGGCGCUCCCUGGCAGGGGCACUGCAGGGAUUUGUAAUUACCCCUGUUUCUUGAAGGGCACCCCUGCAAUUUAAGAAGCUUCAGUGCCAUCAAACUUUGAUCUGCUCGGGCAAGGUUGCCUGUGUUUACACGAGGAAACUGAAUCCUGCCUUACGCAGAGGGCUCCCCACUGGGCCAUGUCCCUGGGUCAUCUUCCUCUCCUGGGCCAGGCCCAGUACUUCUUUCCCCCAAGGAGUGUCUCUGGCUCAGGCCCUCGUGUGCCUGUCAGGAGGGAGAGCAAGGCGGGUGCUGGGUGGUUUGGUUUCAGCAGCUGGCUUCCACCCAUCACUCACGUGGCUGGUGUCCAAGGACUGUGCCCUGGUAUGGGGUCUCCAAUUAGCCACUGUGUCCAGGAGCUGAGACCCACCACGCUGGGCAAAGCCCCAGAGCCAGGUAGGGAGUAGGAACCUGGCGGCCGCCCCUAUGGGCUGACACUGCCCAGGCCCCUGGGCUUUGCCUUGUCUCCACGUCUAAGAGGCUCCUUGCACCUGAGCAGGAGCUCUCUGCAGGCAGGGCUGCUCCUGCAACCCAGCCCUGGGUCCCAGACCUCCACCCCCAUUUUGAGCGGUGGCCAAGAGCCCUGGGCAGGUGCUGCCUCUGGGGGACACAGGUCAUGGGCCAUUUUUGCCUCUUUGGGACUCUGCUCCUCUCCAGCUCACGCUGUGUCCUUGCCCCAUGACUCCAAGGGGAUGUCAUUUUGGGGAUGGCUCCCUGCUUCCCUGCUAAGCCGAAAGCUGUGAGAAGAGUGGGCUCAGGCUGCUCCCAGCUAACCCUGUGUGACCAUAGAAUCUUCCCCUGCCUCCUCCUUCUGUGGGAAAGAUGCUGCUACUGGACAUGAGGCCUCCACCCGCGCCACACCCCAUCUCUCCCCGGCUCCCCAUGGCUUCUUGGGGCUGAAGUGACCCCAGAAUCAGAUGCAUUUCCUGUGCACCAGGGACUGAGCCAGGAGGUGCGCGGUGUGGCCCUGCUGCCCUGUGCCCAGGCGGGGUACAGCUCCCAUUUUAUCCAGGUCCCUGCAGAGCCAGGACUCCUUUCCAUGGCAAGGAGCUGGGCAGUUCUGGUCUGCAGCAGCAGGCAGCUUUAGCUUAGACUUUCAGGGAUGCCGUACCCCUCCCACCCCGAGGGUGAUUUUGGGGGCGAUCCAGCCUGCCUGUAUCCCCAGAAGCCAUUGCCUACACCAUCCCCGUUGCCUACACCACUUUUAUUGAAAACCACCUCAAACACUGUCAAGCAUGAAGGAGGCAUCUGGACUCCUACUCGAGGCUAGGUCCAUGCCAGAGGCUGGCCCUGGGUCCUCAUGAGGGCAGGACUGGCUGUCUGGCAGAUCUGUGGCUGAGCACCAUCACAAUAGCCAGAACCGCUGCAGCCAGAGACAAGGGGUCCUGGCCGCUGUCCGUACAGGGGUCUGAGUGCAUUUUCAAGUCAACUGUGCCACAAAGGGGGCAGCAGCAGGGCCUCAGGCACUUUGAGUAGGGCUGGGCCUCUAGCGCUACCCCUGGAGGCAGGUGUCCUGGCCGGGGAAGCAUGCCAGGCCCCGGCUUUUAUACCCUCACAUCUCCUCCUCCUGGCCAGUCAUCUUCUGCCAGAUCACCAUGUGGGUGUCGGUGUGGGUGUGCAGCCCUUUCCAGCUGACAGCCACCUCUCCGUGCCCUUUCUCCUGCUGGACUCCUGAAACAGACAGAGGUAGGCGGGAUGGGGCUGGUCCCCACCUAAAGCUUAGACCAGGCUGGGGGCUGGGUGGCCCAGGCUCUGCUGUCAGCUCCUCAGCCAGUUGGUGUCCUUGAGCAAUGUGGAAAAGCGGAUCAGCUUCAGGCUGGAUGGCACCGGCUUCCUGUCAUCCCAGAGGUACUCGGGAGACAGCACCUUGGACGGCUUGUGCGUGAUGAGACGGCGGUUCAGGUGGCUUUCCUCCUGCCAGGCCGCCAUAAUGCCGUUGGCUUUGUCCGCCAGGAUGGCCAUGUGGCAGCCCCUGGUAAACUCGUACACGUUGGCCACUCGACCCCCGAAGACUGCCCCACCAUAAUAGAAGUCCCCUUCGUUUUCAGCUACAAAGGCCGUGGAAAUCUGCCUGCGCUCAUAAGGGAACUGGCGGCGGGAGACAGUGAAAUAGCCUGGGUGAAUGGCAGCCACCAGGUCCCCCAAGGUCUCGGGGCCCCACGGGUUGUGGAACACCAUGUCCACGUCAAGGCAGAAGAGAUAGUCCACCUCCUGGUGCGCCUUCUUGGCGAUGUGCCGGCUGAUGGCCUCCAUCCGGCGCAUGCUGAUCUCCUCCCAGUGGGUAUAGCCGUGGAUGGGGAUGAUGUCCAGGAGCCGACGGGGGCCGAGCAGGACCCUGGGAAUGGCUGCGGGGUCGUGGGUGAAGACAUAGUAGUGCACCUGGAAGCCGCGCAUGAAGAACUCCUCCGCCGACUCCAGGAAGUGCUGCACGAACCGGGUGUACCUGUGGCCAUAACCUCGUCACCCAGGGCUACCCAGGAGGGGUGCUGCCUGGCAUCCACUGAGUGCUGGUCCACCCUGGGGCCCAGGGCUGGCCGGGGCAGCACUGCAAGAAGCCACUGGGGUCUCUGUUUUUCAAACUCCCAUAAUCCUAGCCCAGGCUCAAGUGGCUCAUCUGAAAAUCCAACUUCAGAUUCUAGGAUUAGGGAUGCUGAGCUGGUGAAGUCUUCGGAUUUACAUAAUUUGAAAACUUCUGAAUCUGAAAUGCUUCUGGUCCCAGGCAUUUCCGAUCAAGAUGCUAUUUAACCUGUACUGACCCCGGAGGACUGCUGGGAGGGUGACCCCAGGGCAGUUUCCUUCCUUCUCUUUCUCCUUCUCCUCUUUCUUUCUCUUUUCCCUUCCUUCCUCCCUCUCUUCCUCCCUCCCUUUCUUUUUGAGGGGUGGAACCUAGGGCCGCUCUACCACCCCCAGUCCUUGUUUUUGUUUUGAGACCCUCUCCCUAAGUUGCCCAAAUUAGCCUUGAACUUGCAAUCCUCUUGCCUUAGGAGCUGGGAUUUCGUUAUUUUUUUUAGUCUUUUUAAGACAGGGUCUCUCUUUGCAGUUCAGGCUGGCCUUGAGCUUACUUUGUAGCCCAGGCUAGUCUCAAACUUGCAAUGAUCCUCCCACUUCAGCCUCCCGAGUGCUGGGAUUGCAGUAUGAGCCACCACGCCCGGCUCAGGAGCUGGGAUUUCAGACGUGGACCAGUGGUGCCAGCCUGGUGAUUCCUGCAGUCAUAAACAGUACUGGUUCUCAUCGAGACUGGGCUGUGUUUUCAGGGAUUCUCAGGAGCUCUGGUUUCCUAAGCUACCUAGAAGCUUGCCCGUUGUGGAGGCAGGACAUUGAGAACCAAGGGGAAGAGAGGAGCUGAGAAGUAGGUGGCAGAAUCCAGGGAGGGUGGGUGCUGGAUGUCGGGGCAUGAAGCAGAGGUGCAUGACACGGCUGCACCCCCAGGCCCAGGGGUCACCUGGAUCAGGUCCCGCUGCCUCUCACCUGGGCAGCUUCGGCCUCUGCUUGUGUCCUGGGCCGGCCCCUUCUCCAGGGAGCCCAUCCUUCGCGCCUCCUGUCCCUCAGCCCCUGAUCAGAGCCCAUGUCUCCCCUGGCCUGUGAGCCCCUGCGGCUCAGGCCCACUCCCGCCCAGCCCACUCACUUGCCCACGGCAAACACCGUGACGCCGAUGCUCAGGUUCAGCGGCUGGUAGAUGUGCUGCAGCAGUUCUGGGUCAAAGGUUCCCUCGGAGACGAUGGGUGCCAACCAGGGCGUGAGUGUCAGGAGCUCCGUGGGCCUGGCGGCAGGGGAAAAGCCAGUGUGGUGAGCACACCUGGGCUGCCCUACAUGAUGCUGCUGCAGGGUCUGGGCUUCCCCAAGGGAAGAUGGGAUGGCAGCAGCCACCUGGCAGGGCUGGGUGGGCACAGGGUUGGUGUGGGGACACUGGCAGUCUCUGUGCAAGCUGGGGUUGGCGGUAAGUGUGAAACACUGCAUCAUGGGUGGUGACAGGUGUGAACUGAGGCCUGGGGCCUAUGUUACCCUAAAAUGCCACUUUGCUCUCCAAGCCUCCUGUGUGGUGCAGAAAAAGGUCAGAGCAGAUGGCUCACCUGGCCAUGCUCGUGACAGCUGGAGCCCAGCUGCCCGAGUGGGGGUCCAAAGGCCACCCUGACUCUGGCCACUGCCAUGGUUGUACCGGUCAGGCUCUAACCCCAGUCCUAACCCUUCCCCAGGCCCCACCAGGUCCUUGUGAGGCUUACCUGUGCUGUGUCAGCCUGGGCUGAGGGUAUUGGGCCCUGUAACCGAGAAGGGAAGGCAUGAGGGAUGGUGUGGGUCCCCCUCCCGCCCCCAGGCCACCAAGCGGGCAGUGACAAUGUGCUUACUGGGUCACUGGCGGCAGCGGCUUCUCCCCUUUGUACUGCAGCUUCAUGUUGCUGGUGAUGGAGGCAAGAAGGGUCAUCAGAGCCGGGCAGCAGGAACGGGGCCCAGGCAGAUCCCUGCCCUUUCCGAGAUGGGCUGGGGGUUCCUGCAGCCUGGUCUGUUCAGGGUCACACAGGAGCAAGGGCAGUGAUCAAACCCUGUGCCACCUGGCCCCAAGCUGACGCUGGGUUCAGCUUUGUAUGUGCCGGGCACUGGGCAGGACUGAGACCCUCAAAGGCCCAGGGACUGGGGCGAGUUGAUUGAUUUUGGGGCCGUGUGUCACUUAGGCUAGGGUGCAAUGCCAGGUUUCUCAAGCACAAGUCAAGCCCAGUGUAGUGGCACCCGCCUGUAAUCCUAGCACUUGGGAGGCUGAGGCAAGAGGACUGGCAUUAGUUUGAGGUCAGCCUAGGCUACAUUGUGAGUUCAAGGCCAGCCUGAACUAGAUAGCAAGACCCUGUCUCCAAACAAACAAACAGACAAGCAAGCAAACAUUCAAACACAGGUCCAGGUCUUGCAGUGAAGGCAUCUGUAGGUGAGAUUGGCUCAGGUUGAAUUUAUAUGAAGGAGACUAUCCUGGGACACAGUUGGGGCAGAUGAGUUGAAAGGACUCAAGGACAGAGCUGGGGUUUCCCUACAGAAACAGGAACUUGUCCACAGACGCAGCGUCAGCUGUGACUUCCAGCUUGCCCGAGGCACUGCAGGUCUGCUUGGCCAGUCCUUAGGAUCACUGUCAUGGUUUAUGUUUGUGUCCCCCGGGCCUCAUGAGUUUGCAUUGUUCAUUCGUGAUGGUUCAUUGUUGUAUAGUGCUUAGAUUGAUGGUGUCAGUGCUCCACCCACAUAGGGGUAGAACCAGGAUGUGAUGUAAUGGCAGGAAGAAGGUGUGUCUUGCUCUUUGCUGGUUCGAGCUCGCUGUGGGCGGCCGCCAUGAACUGCGGUCCAGCCAUGCCCGCCUGUCUUGGAGCCAACUGAGUGUGGACUGAAACCUCCAAAAACUGUAAGAAAUAAACCUUUCCUUUCCCAA